rnacentral:rRNA from 1 species
GCAGCAGUGGGGAAUAUUGGACAAUGGGGGGAACCCUGAUCCAGCCAUGCCGCGUGUGUGAAGAAGGCCUUAUGGUUGUAAAGCACUUUAAGCGAGGAGGAGGCUACUUUAGUUAAUACCUAGAGAUAGUGGACGUUACUCGCAGAAUAAGCACCGGCUAACUCUGUGCCAGCAGCCGCGGUAAUACAGAGGGUGCGAGCGUUAAUCGGAUUUACUGGGCGUAAAGCGUGCGUAGGCGGCUUAUUAAGUCGGAUGUGAAAUCCCCGAGCUUAACUUGGGAAUUGCAUUCGAUACUGGUGAGCUAGAGUAUGGGAGAGGAUGGUAGAAUUCCAGGUGUAGCGGUGAAAUGCGUAGAGAUCUGGAGGAAUACCGAUGGCGAAGGCAGCCAUCUGGCCUAAUACUGACGCUGAGGUACGAAAGCAUGGGGAGCAAACAGGAUUAGAUACCCUGGUAGUCCAUGCCGUAAACGAUGUCUACUAGCCGUUGGGGCCUUUGAGGCUUUAGUGGCGCAGCUAACGCGAUAAGUAGACCGCCUGGGGAGUACGGUCGCAAGACUAAAACUCAAAUGAAUUGACGGGGGCCCGCACAAGCGGUGGAGCAUGUGGUUUAAUUCGAUGCAACGCGAAGAACCUUACCUGGCCUUGACAUACUAGAAACUUUCCAGAGAUGGAUUGGUGCCUUCGGGAAUCUAGAUACAGGUGCUGCAUGGCUGUCGUCAGCUCGUGUCGUGAGA